rnacentral:tRNA from 1 species
GGCAGUGUGACAUAGUGGAUAGAGUAUUAGACUUGGAGUCUGGAAGGUCUGAGUUCAAAUCCUGAUACUGCUA